GAAAGCAUGUUUUAUCAGCUAUCUGGGUUUCCCUCAGCCUAGUCAAGUUGACACCUAAAAUUAACCAACCACUAGGCAAUGCACUACCUAGGAAUACAGAGCCAAGGAGGGCGGGAUCUUCCCAGGCCUCAAGGUCUCUCAUCUGCUGAGCAGACAGGCAUGAGGCAGACUCUCACAAGUAAUGAGGUUGGUGGCAAGGACUACAAAAGAGAAAGACCUCUGCCAAAUGCAAAGUUGCACUAAGUGCUAAGAUAAACCCAAAUCUGAACUGCAGAACUGUGGGCUGUGAUGUUCACCCCCACCCAAGUGGCUAUGUUGCCACAUCGGCUGCAAACACACGUGAAUUUGGGCUGGGUAUCAGGAAAUGAAGUCAUUCUGGGAAUGGAAAUUUAAGUUUGUUUAGGGAACUGUGAAAAUCUGCAUUGGAAAACAGAUACUGCGAGAGAACAGGUUCUGCAGACCAGCAAACAGUCCAGACACUGGAUUUCUUCCCUGCUCGCUGUCUGGCCGCAGCCGGGGACAGACAGGCAGAGCGGGAGUGUGUCAGAAGGUGUUUUCUAGGGGAAAGAAGGAAUAAAAGAAGACCCAGAGGAGAUGCAGUGACAUUGGGAGGUUCAAUAAUUUCCCUGCAGUUGAGGGCCCCUGGACCACUGUUUCCCCAGCAGAGACAAGGUGGUGGCUGGCAUGGAGGGAGCUUCCUUAGAAGAACCCAGAACCCGUGUAUUCCCCUGAGAAGCGUCAUGAAACCUCUCAGAUCUCUAAUCCCUGCACUGCCCUGGAGCAUCAAGGCCCAGCGCUGCUGUUGAAUAUUGUGAAUGUGGUUUUUCCUGACUCACCAUAGAGUCAAUAAUUUCCAGUUUAAACGAAUUUGUUAAAUAUCCUUCCAGAUUAUGCCAUUAUCCAAGAAAGUCUUAGCUGGCUAAACUGGAGCAAGCAAUUCUUUUAGGAAUUUGGAGAGCAAGUUUAUUGUGAGAAUCUUGCAGCUGUGACAGACAAAUGUCCACAGAGAGAAGAGACGCCUCUGAGAGGUAGUGAGCCUGAUAACUGAGCACCGGGAGGGCUGCAGAGCCGGACGGCUCAGCCUCGGGAUCCAGCCCAGCCUCUCCUUCCCUACAGUGAGCUCCUGCCAGACCGCAAUACCCUCCAGCAUUCCUGACAUGAAUCUGACCUGCGGGGAGGAUCCGGGACAGACCCAGCGCAGUGGAGCAUCUCGGAUGCCAUGAGUUUCCCGGUAAGCAGCACCCAGGGGCAGCACCAGGGGGAGCAGCUUCUCAAGCUCCCAAGGGAGCAUGUGGGUCGACGAACAGCAGCCUCCUCUGACUUCUUCCUGGUGAUCUGGGGAAGGAGGAGGCAGCGUCGGCGCUUGGCCGCAUUGAUAUAUGACACCUUGUCCCUCCUUUUCAUGGCCCCCUUUUCUCCAAAUCAGGAUUGUAAGGCCCAUUGACUAACUUCUACAGAUUGCCACAAGCUCGAAACAUAGUAAUUGAGGGAAAGAACAGCAUUGCUGAUGUUAUUCCUUCAAUCAUAACACAAAAAUUCUGAGUGUGUGCCAGGAAAUGUCCUACCCAAUGGAGAUUAAAAUUUUAGAGGGAGGAGACACGCAAUAAACAACUAAAUAAUUAAAACAUGCAGUGUGCAAGGCAAUGAUAAGGGCUUUGAAGAAAAGUAAAGCAGAAAAGGGGUAGACAAUGUGAAAGCAGGAAGCAAGUUCAAAGGUAUGGCCAGGGAAGGUCUUCCCAAGAGGUUGUCACCUGCACAGAGACUGAGACAGGCGAGGGCCAGGCGAGCUGGGCCUGGGAGAAGUGGGAGCACACCCAGAUCAUUCCAGGAGCAGGGAGGCCAGUGAGAACCAUGAGCUGUGGAAGAUGGAGUUGAGAGGGAAUGGGGCAGGGCCGGCGGGGCCUUGCAGGCCACUUGGAGGCGUGGAGAAGUUCCUGGAUGUUUGGAGCAGAAAGCUGGCAUUCCCCGACCUGUUUCAACAGGAACAUUGUGGCCAAUGUAUUGGCCACAGAUCCACGCUGUAGGCCUGAUGAACAGAAGUCUGACACAUGUCACCACAAUAGAGAGUCACAGCAUCUCAAUUCUCAGACUUAAACCAGUUUACAGACCCAGAGCCCCUGGAGGAAGGGCCCACCACACUGCCACCUGGUGAAACCAUAGAGGCUUCACCUUCCUCCCAGCCUUCCCUGAAGACGCUGUGGCCGCUGUCUCUACUGUGGAAGGGAACUGAUCAGACUCUGCAAGCGUUACUGGACACUGGCUCCGAAAUGACACCAACUCCUGGAAACCCCAAAUGUCACUGUGGUUCACAGUCAGGGUGGGGACUUUUGGGUCAGCAGAGUUUUGGCUCAGGUUUGAUGCAUAGUGGGGCCCACUGCGUCCACCCUGUGGUUAUUUCCCCAGUUCCCAAAUUCAUGACUUGAACUGACUAUUCAACAAUGGGCAAAAUCCUCACAUUGGCUCUCCGGGCCACAGAGCGAGAGCUGUUAUGGUCAGAAAGGCCAAACAGAGGCCGCUGGAACUGCGUCUUCCUGUGAAAAUAGCAAACUAAAUGCAAUACCAUAUCCCUGGAGGAUUGCAGAGAUGAGGGCCACCAUCACAGACUUGAGGAGGCAGGGGUGGGAUUCCUACCACAUCUCCGUACAGCUCACCUACUCGGCCCGCACGGAAGGGAGACAGCUCUUGGAGAAGGACUGAGGAUUAUCAUAAACUUAACCGGGGUCACUCUAGUUGCAGCUGCUGGUCCAGAUUCAGUUUUGUUCCUGUUUUAAAGCAACCAGUCCUCUGGCUCCUGGUCUGUAAUGUGUAUUGGUCACCCCAGGGGUGGAUGAGCCUUGGCUGUUGGUUCUAAUUCAGAAAUUCCCAAGGAAGGUUCGUGGUUGGCCCAGUGUGGGGCAGACCUUCCCAAGAACCAAUUGUCCUUGGAGAGGGUAGCAGAGCACUUUCCCCGGUUGAGGCCAGCGUGGGGCUCGGAGGAUGUUUCAAAGGAGCACUUUGAAAGUCUUGGAAGAGGUGUGUGAAAUCAAGAGCAGGGCUUCAGCCCACCGGCCCUCCGCUGCUCAGUGCAGCUCAUGCCCCAUGACCUCCCAGGAAAAGAGAAAUGCCCAUCCCAGGAGAUCCCGCGCUCCACCGUGGUCAGAGCAGAGGAAGGCGCCUUCUGUGGCCAGGCCAGUUCACAACCGGCAGAUUCCCCGAGUGCACAGGCAGGAGAGGGGCUGGCCACUGCCUUCGCUCUCUUCUGAGCAGCACUGCUGUCUGAAGAGUCCAGUCCCCACACAGCUGAGGUGAGGGAUGGUGCUGAUGCGGAAUGUCAAGUGAGAUGCAUUUGUUUUCAGCUUGGAAGACGCUGUUUACUGUUAAUUUGACCAAGUGUUAGAGCGCAUCUUGGAGAGAAGAUAAGACGUGGUCAGAGAUGUAAAAUGAUACUCAUUGUGCCUGUAGAGGCCGGGCUCAGGGCCCUGGUGCUUCUCCCAGCUCUGGGUGACCGUCUGCAAUGGAGGGAGUGUGUGGGCUGGUUUGCCAGCGGAGAGAUUUGCCUCACGUCACCAGGAGCCUGGCCGAGCACCACGGUGACCGUGGCCGGGUGGAAGGAGAUGGACGCCCACUUGUGCAAUUUGCUUCCAUUCUUUCUCCAGGGGCCAUUUCAGAAUAAAAUGUAAUGGCCCUUUCUUGUUCAGUGUGGUCUCAAAUGGAAGUUUCUUGCUUUGGAUGCAGUUUCCAUGGGAAGAGAGAGUGAAGGGUGCCACCCAUGGUUUUUGUCUGGGAACAGGCUCUGUCUGGGCCUGGAUCCCCGAGUCUCCCCAGACCCCUGGAUGGCCCCUAGCCUCCCUCAACCAGAGGGCAUGAAUGAUGCUGCUUCCCCAGCAAUUUGUCUGUUUUCUGAAAGUUGCUGGUGAUUCUGCACAGUGCUUGGAAGUCCUCUCUGUGCUCAGAAGCACUUAUACUCAAUGCAGCAGCGACCCGUCUCAGGGCACCAGCACAGCAGGGAGAGAAACUGAGGCGGUCAGGGUGGGGGGACUUCACCAGCGAGUCAGCAGGGUUGGUUCAGGCCAGAGUGUGGGGAAAGGCUCAAGGAAUUAGAAUUCUCACCUGAUUGUGCCCCCAGCUGUGGACCGUGGCCUCGGCUUCCUUUUCUCUAUGAUGACACAGUUGGGAAAGCUGCUCUCCAGGGUCCCCCGGCAGCUCUGAUGGCCGGGAACACCCACAGCCUGGCCCCAAUCAGAGACGGUCAGCAAGGACACGCCGGCAGGGCUCAAAGAACCCCAGAGCUGAAGGGUAACACUGCACACUGUAACAGCUGCUUGCCCAGAUGGUGACUAAUGGCAGCUUCCAAGAUCAUUGCCUCACUGGUCUCAGCCCCGUAAUAGGAAAAUCCUCCUGCAAGCAUGUGACUGUCCCCACCUGAGGAAUGGGGGAUGUUUACUAACCCCCAUCAUAUAAGGAAGUGUUCACAUUACAGACAGAAAUGCCACAUCUUGGCUAAAGGACGUGUCCGUUGAAUCCCUUAAGUCUCCUGUGUUGCCGUCACUUACUGGGAGGUGUUCGGGUGGGACCUUGGGGCGUGGCCCCUUGCUCUUUUGUUGCCACUCUUGAUUUUUAAAAGCAUCGUCUUGUUCAGUUAGUACACCUGAAAUCUGCUUUUAUACAAACGAGUUAAAGCUCAGCCUUAGCCGUGGUCCAGUGGGGCCUGGGGAGGGCCUCUGCACAAGAUGCACGGGGCAGACCCCACAGCACCUGGCAGGCCAGCACCCGGGGCCCAGCGGCCUAGUUUGGCCACAGCAGGGAACAUGCUGCCUCCACCCCUUCCCCGGCUGGACCACAGAGACCUAGAUAGUAACUAAGCAGAGACUCAUGUCCUUGCUGUCUUUCAUGGCGUGAUUAAAGGGCCCUGCCCCACCGGGCGCUGAGAGCUCUGAGAGGAACGUCUGCUCCUGGCUUCUCUGGGAAGUGGGGCCCAAGUGAGGCUGAGCUGUGUGCAACAUGCAGGACAUACAGGCUCAGAGUGGUGGGGACAAAGCAAGGACAAAGCCUCACGACAACGGAGCAGGUUACAGAGCUGGCUGUGACUUCAGAUGAGUCACGUGAGGCUGGCAUGGCUGUGCUCCCUUGGGCAUGCAGUCUCCCAAGAAGCAGCAAGAAGAAUCCACCCUUCAGAACAGCCUGCAAGGGGGAGCACCCUCCCUGCCUGCUCCUCUGUCCAGAAAGCUGCCUCCCCACCCUUCAGCAGUUCCAGGAGGGGCGACUCCUCCAGGCCUGAACUGAAGGGACUGGGAGUAUGGAGCACUGAGCAAGAAGAAGGGAGGGGGGCUGAGAGGAGGGGGCAGUGCACAUGUCUGUGCUCUCAGAAAUGGUGGAAAGUGACAGCCCUGGCCCCUAGAUGUCCAGAAUUUAAGAAAGAUUCUUGGAAUUCACACACACAAGCACAGAAACGCACACCCAACACCCCUUAGCCCCUGCUGGUCAUGAGACUUAUUAUUGGAUACCUGGGAGUCUGCAUGUGUCAGAUCCCAGUGGUGACAAACCCGCUGGGCCCCCUUCCCAUCACUCACUGUCCCCAGGACAGAGGCAUCACCAGGCCUUUGUCCCUCUGCUGGGGCAGCUGGGUUGGUGGGGAAUAGAGGGGCAAGGGAGAGACCUGGGGCUUCUUUUCUCCAGCGUCACUCUGGGGGGAUGAACAUACUAUGCAUUUCUCCUCCUGCGAUAAUCAGGCCCCCAGGCCUGCCCCUGCACUGCAGCUCCCACCUGGUGCCUGGCUGCCUCAAGCCAGCAAGAUGCCUCAGCCUCUGGAGGUGAAGAGGAAAGCUAGCUGUGCCCCCUCGUGGAGAGCUGCUGGUUUAUUCCUUAGUGAUGGGUCCUGAGCAUUGGCCUGAUUAUUUUAUAACAGACUGAUAUCUUUCUGGAGCCCCUGAAAACACAAUUUGCUGCCAUGAAGCAUGUUGUUUCCUUGCUAAAACAGUAAGUUGUUUUCCCCAGCAAUUCUAACAGGCAGAAAACCCCAUCUCAGCACAUCAGCAUCCCUUCCCUACCCCAGGAAGGUAAGAGAGGGCUGCAGGAAGAGGAAGGAAGUGCUAGAAAGCGGCUCUUCCCCGGGGAGCAGCGGUCAGUCAGUCUGCAUCCUCCUGGGAGCCUGGUUCCUGCAGUUCCCACGGCCGCGCUGGGUAAAGCUGGCAGGGAAGACAGACCUCUACCGGGGCAGGGCCCUGCAACUUCUUUCUCCUGUGUUAAACUGUUCUCAAUGACAGAGGCUGCCACGAUGGUGACACUGAAGAGCACUGGCAAACGCACUAGCUGAGUAACAGACACUGUAACCAGCUGGCUGCAGCAUUCGGAGUGGGCAGGUGCUGCCUGACUGCAGGGGCAGAGGGCCACCUGUCUUCUCUAUACCCUCCUGGCAUUUCAGAGCCCUGGCCGGAGCCUGCCUUCCUGGCCAUGGUUGUGAGCAGGGAGGCCUGGGUGUACACAUGUCCAUGUGUGGAUCAGCAGAGGGGUAGAAUGGGGCCUGUGUUUUUUUACCCCAUCCCACCCGAUGGCCUACACUGGAAAGUCAUGUAGGAAUGAGGAAGGUGAAGAGGGUUCUUGCAGCUGACACCAGGCUGCCCAGCUUAGGUUGGGCCUGACCUCAGGACUGAGCCCAGCCCCCAGGGUAGCUCCAGUGCUCACCGUCGUACCCCAUGAUGCCCUACUGUGUUCACAGGGGAAUGAGGCAGCUCCCCACACACAGAGGGCUCCCAGGACAGGUCCUGCCAAGGGUGUGACUGAUGACCUGCUCCCCGAGUCCAAAGUCCUGGCUGAGGUCCAGGCAGCUGUGUCAGGGAGGGUCACAUGGCACAGGCCAGGAAGCCCCUGCCCAUGGGGCUAGCAUUUACCAUCCACGAAUACGCUCCCUUUCAGGGUGCCUGAUAGUGGUGAGGGUCAGAUCGGGCAUGAUGGAAGUCAUGGCCAGGGCAGGAGGUAAAGAGGAUGCAUGGUCUCCUGGCCUCGGAGAGUUUGCAAAGUGCCCCUCGGAUCUGUCACGGGCUGGAGAGCAGAGCACGCGGUCACUGCGCUUGGUGGCUCCUACCUGUGGGGGCUCCUCGCCGCUGGACCAGAGACAGCUUUCUGGGGGGCCUUCUGCUGCUCGCUGAUAUGGCCAGCCUGGCCUCUGUCUUAGACCGGGCACCGCAGUCCCCAGACCCAGGCCCUGGCCCCUGACUACCCGACACCUAGCAUUGCUCUGUGUCAAGUAGCAGAGGCGCCUCUGUUCGUUACUUAAAGAAUGGAUUUGUUUCUGCUGACUCCAGAAACAGCAGUGCACAUGAACCACUGUCAUCGAGGACAAGGCCUCCUUCUCCCAGGCUGACCACAGGUGGGCACUGCCAGGAGCUCUGAUCACUGUGUUCUCUGCACAUGUAGGACGAGCUGAGCAGGCCCAGCUCUUUCCUCACGACUGCGUGCGUGGGGUCGUUCAGCACUCUGAGUCCCCUCCUGAAAGACCCUGGUGGUGCUCUGCCAUCACGUCAGUGCCUGUGUGUUUCGUGGAGCACGUGGGCAGCCCUGUGAUCCCCGUGGGCCUGGCAGCGGUGCCAUCUACUUGUCUGCUUAUCUCAGGCCAUCUACUUUGUGCUGAGCCCUGAAGUGAGCUCUGGGUCCCAGAAAGGAGCUGGAGGGGGGACCUGUACCCUGGAGGAGUGAACAGCCUGGUGGGGAAGGGGACACGGACACCUACAAGUCAGACACGGGAUCAUAGGGCCUUCGAGGAGGAGGCCUGGGCUUCCACAAAGACAGCAGCGCCCCAUCCUGUUCGUAAUCUACCCCCAGGACGCCCCUCCAAGGCUGUGUGGAGGUAGACCUGGAGAGCUGGAAAGAGUCUCCACCCCUCUCCUCGUAGAAGUGGGAACACAGAAAGGAAGGAGCAAGGACGUGACCCCUCCACAGACCCCAGGCCCCGGGAUGGCUGUUAGAGGGCCCUGGCUCAGGGGCCCCUCCUGUCCCUCAGGGAAGGGGGUGCUUUGGACUCCCCAAGCUGCAGGGAGUGGUCAGGCCCCAUGAGGGUGGCAGAGGAACUGGUGUGGGGAGGAGGAGAGUGUGGGGGCUGUGCCUGGCCCUGGGGGUGCAAGCAGAACCCUCUGGGAGGGAUCACAGGGAGACUUUUAGCCCUGAACGGGGAGUUGCCCAGAAGACCUUUGGGGGGCUUUAGUCUUGGCCUCGGCAUCUCCUCUGGUCCCAGCCCUGACCCCAGAGAUGGAAGGUGUCCAAGGUCAGCAUGUGUCCGGCCUGUGGCCUCUGUUGGGCAGGCCAUGCACAAAGAGGCCUCAUUUAUCCACAAAGACACCCUCUGUCGCCGAGACACAGACUCUUCCCUUCCAAGACCAGUGGAAAGGACUCGGGGACGGCUCCUUCGAGCCGGAAAACCCUGUCAUUGCAAGGCUGCUCUCAGGCCCAGUGUGCUCAGAGAAUUACACCUCAGCACCAAGCUCUUUUCACUAAGGGUCCCUUCCAUAAUUGGAACUUGAACAAAUGGCAGUAAAGUAUACAGGAGCUUGCCUACCUAGAACAGGGCUCUCAGAAGAAAGAUAAGCUCCCUCAGGUUCAGAAAUGGCAGCAAAGCACAUUCCCCCAUACUCCAAGGCCGGCACGUGGUGGGUUGGCAGUGGGGCCAGGCACGUGGGGGAGGCCCCUCUCUGUGAAGUGAGUCAAGGCAGAAAAGAGGAAAUGCCUCUACCUAUCCUGUCCGGGGCCAGGGGCCUGGGAGGUGAGGAGGGACAUGAGAAGCAGACUGGUGCCGACCCACAGGCGUGAGCCUCCCCUACCCAAGGGAGCAGGAAAGCCCCAUGGGGGUCUCCCGAGCCCACAGGGUCACGGGCACGUAUUCACUGCUAACCAAGCUCCCUUUAGAUGGUCAGUGUGGUGAUAUCUGGAGCUUGCCCUGGAGUUUGAAAGGGCAGGUGCUGGAGAGCGUGGCUAUCGGGAGCCGUGGGCAGAUUUGUGGAGGGAGGUGGCAUGAAAAAUGGCCCUCAAGAUCUCUCCACCUGAGGAGGCCACCCUGUCUUCUGCCCAUCCUCCACCUGUCUUGCUCCUGGUUCCGCUCAUUUUCUUCUCUCUCAGCCGGCCCAGCUGACUCACCACCCGUAAGACCAGGCCCACCGUGGGCCCUGCCCUGGGACUUGGCCUCCAUGUGCCCCACCUGGAGACAGAGCCACUGCCCAUGGAAUGAGGCUCGGGACUCAGUCCAGACAUUGGCUGAGCAGGAACAAUAGCACCUGGCAUCAGUGACCGAGGAAGGUGUAAAGACCCCAUCAGACAAGGCAGGGAAGAGGCUUCUGCCCCAGUGAUGGUGUGAACCCAGGGCCUGGGCUUAUGGAAAAGCUCCUCGAAAAAUAAUUUAGAGAAAAAUAAAACCAGCAACCUCUUUAUUAAGUACCUCUACCUGGGACACUGCCACCCCUCGUGGCCAGCAGGGAUAGAAGGGUAUCCACUGGUUCCCUCUCAUCUCCAGAGGCUGCCUGUGCUGAGCCAACCGUGGUCCCUGAGCCAGAAGCUCUGUCCCUUGGGUGGCUUGACAGGGCACUCAUGCUGAGCAAAUAAAUCCACAAGGAAACGCCGAGAGCCUUGUCCUCCCAGCGCGAGGCUUGCUUCCACUUGGUGCUUCACGGUCAGUACGAAAACCUGAUGCACAGAGAUGUUCCGAUUAUGUUUCUCUGCUCCCUCAGGAUGGACCACUUUCUAGCCAGUAGGGCAUGGGUCCCAGCUCUCCCCAUGUGGAGUGUAGGGGGCUUGUGGUGGGUUCUACUCCCAUGGCAGUGUUAGCCAAGGAGUCUGCGUUUCCACCGGGUCUGGGGGAGCUUGGAGUCAUCAAAGGAAGCUUCUGUGAAAAUCUUGGAGUUGCUGUUACUUUGUCUGGGGUUCCAAAAACAGCAUUACCCCGAAGAAGGGACCUAGACUGAGUCUGAGCUCCAUAAAUUAGCUGCCCCUGUGUGGGUAAGAACAGAUUUGUUGAACUCGAUUUUUGCAUUACAUUUGCAUAAUACUCUCAUUUAAAUAAUGACAGAAGGUAUGGAGAUGGGAGGUGGGAGGGACGUGGGCUCUGAGCCUGAGGGCUCCCAGUGGAAGGAGCUCAAGAACAGAGCUGCCCCUCCCACAGUACGACCUCCACUGCCCAGAGAUCAUACGGCAAAUGGUGUUUUCUGGUGGGGUCAGCGGGGCGGGGGAAGAAGCGUGCCGCCUGGCCCAGUCUCUGUUGCCCAUUGUCACCGCGUGGAGAGGUGGAGAAGUCCCAGGAAGGCAGAAGGCUUGGACCAGUGUGAGGUCUGAACGGCAUCCCCAAAACCCCAUAUGCUUCCUCCAAGUUGUAUUAAUCCUAUUUUUUUAAUUUCUGUAUUUUAUGAUGCUCUGACAUCCUGGGGCCUCACUGACCAGAGAAGGAACUGCCUCUCCCAGGGGUAGCUAAUUCCUGGGGACUCCCUGGUGAGUGUGCCUUUCAUGUGCAAACCGCCCAAUCCAAGCCCUUGGCUCCAGCCACCUCCUACAUGGGCUCCUGCACUCCCAGGCCAGUAUUUCCCUACCCUGAAUCACCCAGGGCCAGGAACCAGACAACUAGAGCCCAGAGCCCUCCAAAAUUGCUGAAACGCCAGCCCUAGGCCUGCUCAGCUGGUCACCACACCUCCCCAGCUCCUUCCCACGAUAAGGGCUCUGGGCCUGCUCACCCCUCACUCCUGCUGCCUCCCGGCUGAGCUGGUGCUUUCCCACAUGGCCUUGCCUGGUAUGCCAUGCCCCCUCCUCUUGGGAACCUUAAGUAAUAAACUCUCCUUUCAA
rnacentral:lncRNA from 1 species